rnacentral:lncRNA from 1 species
CAGGAUUCAUCACUACUUUAGCGACUAGACCAGUUUCUCGGGAUUCAGACUGUUUCAUUUCUUGAUGUUAGCAAUGUAUAGUAGUCAAAUAGGAUUAUUUUCUUGUUGUGAUUUUUUACCUUUUUCCUCAUGUGGGAGUUAGAAUUAGUUCCCGUUUAUCUACUUCUAUCAAUGUGGGGAGGCAAAAAAGCCUGUACUCAGCUACCAAAUUUAUUUUGUACACAAAGAGGAGGGGUUCUGUUUUUCUUGUAAUGGGAGUUCUAGGUUUCUGUUUAUAUGGUUCUAAUGAACCAAUAUUAAAUUUAGAAAUAUUAGCCAAUCAGUCCUAUCUUGUCACCUUGGAAAUAAUAUUUUAUAUUGGAAUUUUUAUUGCUUGUUAUAUCAAAUUGCUAAUUAUAUCCCUACAUACAUGGUUACUAGAUACCCAUGGAGAAGUGCAUUAUAGUAAUUGUAUGCUUCUAGCCAGAAUCUUAUUAAAAAUGGGAGCGUAUGGAUUAGAUCAGAUAAAUAUGGAAUUAUUACCUCAUGCUCAUUCUAUAUUUUCUCCUUGGUUGAUAAUUGUAGGCGCAAUGCAAAUAAUUUAUGCAGCUUCAACAUCUCUCCAUCGACGGAAUUAAAAAAAAAAAAGAAUAAUAGCCUAUUCCUCUGUAUCUCAUAUGGGUUUCAUAAUUAUAGGAAUUGGUUCUAUCAUUGAUACAAGUAGGGGUGGGCGCGGG